AUUGCCUAUCAAUUGAGAAACCAUUUGUGGAAGACAAAGAAUUUUUGUUUUUGUUUUUGUAUGUCAGUUUGUUUCUCUGCCAGCAGAUUUGUGGGUUUUUUAUUAUAAGUCUCUGAAUGCAUUUUAUAAAAGUAUAAUGCUAGGCUGGAGUCCUACAUCUCAUACUAAUUACAGGCUAGCAGCUGGUAAUUGCCCCAGUGCUAGUCUUUUUGUAACAAUUUGGCAUGGCAUGAGUGUCUCUUAUCAACCAUGAAAUCUGUUGAAGAAAAUAACUUUUG